CUGCGAUAAGCUUCGGGUAGGCGCACAUAGCCUGAGAUCCGAAGAUUUCCGAAUGAGGAAACUCACAUGGGAAACCCCAUGUAUCAUUAAGUGAAUACAUAGCUUAAUGAAGGUAACCCAGGGAACUGAAACAUCUAAGUACCUGGAGGAAGAGAAAGAAAAAUCGAUUUUCUUAGUAGCGGCGAGCGAAAGGGAAAGAGCCCAAACCGGAAACUUGUUUCCGGGGUUGUGGACAUAACAUAAAAGUGGAGGCUAUUGUAACUGAAGAGAACUGGAAAGUUCCACCGUAGAAGGUAAUAGUCCUGUAAGUGAAACGAGAAGACCACGAGUUAUGAUCCAGAGUACCACGAGACACGUGAAACCUUGUGGGAAGCAGGGAGGACCACCUCCCAAGGCUAAAUACUACCUGAUGACCAAUAGUGAAGCAGUACCGUGAGGGAAAGGUGAAAAGAACCCCGGGAGGGGAGUGAAAUAGAACCUGAAACCGUGUGCCUACAACCGCUCAGAGCCCCUUAUGAGGGUGAUGAGGUGCUUUUUGUAGAACGAGCCAACGAGUUACGGUAUGUAGCAAGGUUAAGUACUUAAGGUACGGAGCCGAAGGGAAACCGAGUCUGAAUAGGGCGACUAGUUGCAUGCCGUAGACCCGAAACCGGGUGACCUAUCCAUGGCCAGGUUGAAGCGAGGGUAAAACCUCGUGGAGGACCGAACCA
rnacentral:rRNA from 1 species